rnacentral:misc_RNA from 1 species
GUCGAGCGGAUGAAGGUAGCUUGCUACCGGAUUCAGCGGCGGACGGGUGAGUAAUGCUUAGGAAUCUGCCUAUUAGUGGGGGACAACGUUCCGAAAGGAGCGCUAAUACCGCAUACGUCCUACGGGAGAAAGCAGGGGACC